UAGCUUGCCGAUGCUCCCAGCUGAAUAAAGCCCUUCCUUUUACAACUCGUUGUCUGAGAGGUUUUAUCUAUGGCUCGUCCUGCUACAUUUCUUAGUUCCCUGACUGGGAAGUGAGGUGACUGACGGACGGCCGAGGCAGCCCCUUAGGCAGCUUAAGCCUGCCCUGUGGAGUGUCCCGGCGGGGGACUCCGGCCAGCCUGAAUGACGCGAUCCAAAGAGCGCUCCCAGGUAGGAAAUUGUCCUGGCGGAAUGCCUCGCCAGAGCAGCGCGUAGCAGGCCCCGGUGGAGGAUUAAGACAGUGGCUGAACACCGGGAAGGAACUGGCCAGACUUCUGAAACUUGGUCUGCUGUUUCAAUCCUGAGGCCAGCGAGACCAUGAACCCAUGGGAGGAAUGAACAACUCCAGAUGCGCCGCCUUAAGAGCUGUAACACUCACUGUGAAAGUCUGCAGCUUCACUCCUGAAGCCAGUGAGACCACAAAUUCACUGGAAGGAAGAAACUUCUAACACGUCUGAACAUCAAAAGGAACAAACUCCAGACACACCAUCUUUAAGAACUGUAGCACACAUCGCGAGGGUCUGCGGCUUCAUUCUUCAAAUCAGUGAGACCAAGAACCCACCAAUUCCGGAUACACCACUGUAUCAUUGUACUACACUGCUCUCAGCGCCACUGACCUCGAUGGAGUUUUGCUCUUGUUGCCCAGGCUGGAGUGCAAUGGCGAGAUGUCGGCUCACAGCAAUCUCCGCCUCCCGGGAUCAAGCGAUUCUCCUGCC